GUGCUGUUGCGAAUAUAUUUUCACGGCCAUCGGUGACCUCCGAUGGGAAAAAGGGGAGAUCCAAGCGCGUGGAGUGAGGCGAGAGAUCCCACCCGGGGUACGCGAAACGUUGUGACGUUCUCCGGGAGAAGAAGCGCUUCGGUGAUGGCUCGUCUCGAGACCGAGAAAAAUCCUUCCGUUUCCUUGAAUGCUAUGAGGGAAUCGUGCUGGGGAUGAAGAGCGUUGUAGCGUGCAGCUUACGAACGUUGGCUAUGAAAGGACUUUAUAUUUCUUUGGGCGAGCGCUUCGCCGGGCUCUCACGGAACGCGCCUCCCGCCGCUUAUCCGAUCGUCCGACGGGAGAAGAGAGGAGGAGCUGAACUUUGAGUUCGUGCACAGCUCUGUAAUUCGGUAUAAUGAGUACGAGACCGUUUCAUCGUGGAUUACCUGCAUUGCGAAAACGGAGUUUCGUUGGCGAUUACGGACCGCUGUUCUAAGCAGUUAAAACAGAUGCUUUCUCUUGACGUUUCUGGCUCGGCGAGAUUAAGACGAUGAUAAAGAAAGAUCUUCCCGCACGAACGCGGUUUUAGGGAUGGCGGGUGAAAAUGUUUUCUCUGAAAGCUAUCCGCUUAACGUAGUCGCAAACUACGCCGAUUGGUUACUGCGCGUACGACUCCUCGGCUUGCGAGCGUAGAAUUUCCACGCAAUGCGAUCAAAUGAUAUACAGCUGUUUCUAUAGUAACGGAUGCGCUCCAAUGAAGGACAUAGCAAAGUAGUUCCGUUUCUUUCUUGAAAUUAAAUGGCUCUACAAAACACGGGUAAUGUCAUGACGUUACAAAAUUUUAGCCGAUUUCCAAAAGCGUGGCGUUUGUGAGAAAAAAACAGCGUGCACGCAAGUGAAACAUAACAGAUGAAUAAAGGACAAGUAUGGCUCCGGAAAAUACUUCUAUUAUGCGAAACUCCGGCCUGUUCGGAGGGAAAAUAGGAACGAAAAUGAACCCAAUAUAAAUAUGGCGUUUUGUGGGAAGACAAGAAUAAUUCAUGUUUUGAGUGCUGUUGAGUGCAGCAGCUGCGGAGAACUAAGACAGACAGCGUGAGAACAAAGGACGCUUCUAGAAGAAGAAAGAACGUCUCACGGCUCGGAUUUAGCGGGUGUUCUCGAGGACGUGCCGCCGUCGUGGAGUUUUCCCCGUCGAAGCUGCCUCGUACUUCGGCAGUCACGCGAUCGGAAGACCCGAGUUCUCCUUACUGACAGCUUAAUAUUCCCUAUUGAAACCCCGCAGGAAAACCGCACGAACGAUUUUCAGAGCUGCGACGUUCUGAAAACUGACGUUGCCCAGGUAAAUGAGACGCACUGGCAAUUCGACCAAAGAAGUUACCGUUUAUUCCUCUUUAACUACUGGCAUAUGUUUUCAAAUCCAUCCUCAAGAAUACGUAGCACACUGGAGAACUAUUAUCUGUCUUCUCCAACAUUUCGCUAACAAUGUUAAGCUCUCAUAACAAUAUCAUCGAGUGUUGAAUAGCCAAGUGAGCGGUAAUAUUUAGAAACAUAGGUAAAUAACAGAACCAUUGUCCAGUCAUAGCACAGCACGUAAGCAGGUAUUUUAAUUUGGAGCUUGCGGUUUUACAUUUACUAUGUUCAGAACAGCCGCACGAUUUUACGAUACCGUCCCGCGCAUUUACAGAAUGAACGUCUGUUUAUGCCGCGGCCUUCCACAGUCGUGCUCCGGUAGCGCCGACGCUCGCGUUACGCUGAAAUCCCAUAGGUCUCGGCUGGUCAAUUCGAGGAGUUUAACUCAACGUUGCUGACAGAUUAAAAUCUUCCAUUUUGAAUAAAUAUUCUUUUAGUUACCCCAUCUUAUGCUUUUCUUUGCAUUCAAGGUUUGCUUUCGGUUGACUCUGGCAUUACAUUUAGGAAAUCCCAAUCCGCUAUCCCGUGUGUGAGAGUUUUUGUACACAAGAUCGUGAACAAGGAAAUUAUUUCCCCAAGUUGAGAACACGAACCUCUGAAAGCAUGCCUUGAAGUUCCCUUUUUUCUUUUCAACUGCAUCUGCUAGUAAAUUUAAUUGUAUAUUAAAACUGAACAAAUCGAAAGUGUAAAGCAAAACUAACAUACGCUUAAGUAGUAAAGCAAUUGUUUUCUCUACUGCGAUGAUGCAAAGUAGAAAAGCGCUCGCAUCCUGCUGAAUGUGUUAUCAAAUCACACUUAUAAGAUGCUGGAUGUUUGUUUUCUCAAGAUCCCUAUCCUUAUGCUACUCGUACACCGUUUAGGAGACCACAGCCAUUGGCGCUCUUGCCGGCAUUGCGGUAACCGAGACGCUGUUACAGAUCUGUGCUGCAUGCUAUUACGUCACAAGCAGCAAUCCACUUCCAUAUUUUUUUUAAGUUUCCUUACUCACAGCAACAGCACCGUAAAACAGCAAGUAGUGUUACUCAUACGAGAAACUACUCGCUAUACAUUUACACGAGAAACAAAUUUGUUGCUCGCAAAGAUGAGCAAGCCAACGAACACUUGUUCCUCACUUGAGGAUUAGGUUUAGAAACACAGGCGGAUCAAGGCCCGUGCGCUAAAUGCUGUGAGGGAGGCAUUAUUUCUCUUCGGUCAAGGAAGUCGCAGCAGCUCACUACCAUUGUCUACGUGAAGAAGCAACACUAGUUAUGUCCCAGAGGUAUUUUUACUUCAUUUUCAAAACAUUACAAACUCACGGUUCACUGCAAUUACUAAUACAAGAUAACUUCAGUACAUAACUGCAAAGGAAUUGCCACGAAGAACAUACAAGUAGGAAAAAAAAUGGUUGCUUUAUGUAGUAGCAGGCAAGCUACGGACAAACACCUUUCCAAUCGCUCCACCUCUGUUCCUGAGGAAAUAAUUAGUCAGAAAAAGGACAAAACAUUUCAAAAAACUGGAAACGCAUCCUACCUCCAGCUCCCUUGUGUUCCUAGGGGCUGUUUCCUUCGCUGUCCUUACCAAAAGGCUCUCCUUGGGCUUUUUUUUUUUUAAAUAAAAAAAGAAACUCUGUCACACAUACCGUAUAACCCACUUCCCAGGCAUUAGCAGCUGCCAGCAGUUUACCCGCCCAGGGCUUUCCCCAAUAGGUCUCCCAUGAAAAUGACUUUCAGGGGCCGGCCUACUCAUUCAGAGCCUUUAGACUACUGGGAUGUCCUAGUAGUUCUGAACUACGUGAUUCCAUUGGCCUGGGGGGAACAGUACUAUAAAAGGAAUAGUAUAAUCAGCAUAUAAUAUACGCACAGCAUUUAUUGCAUUUAACAGCAUCAAACCAUGUACUACCUCCAUGGGCAGUUUGUUCUAAAGAACUAUUCAAGUAAUAUUGUUCUCAAGCAUUGCGUUGCAUUAAUAAAACAAACGUAAAAUGAAAGAUGGGCAUACUACCAUGAGAACAAAACCGAAACAAAGCAAAAAAAUGCAGCGCUGGCACUUUCUCAAAACAAACAGAAGACCCUCACUGUAAAGACACUUGGCGAUGCCCAAAAACAUAAUCCAUCAGAAAUUAAAAACAAAAAAAUAAUUUGUGGUUUCAAAGACGCAAGUGUUACAGUAUAAGAGACUUCAAACAGAUUGUAGAACGUGUCACUUGUGUGACGCCGGCUGCUUUUCAAACUUGCGGUUGGUAUUGGAAGUUUUCAGAACUGAAGCAAGAGAGGCCCGUAGCAAACCGGGAGCUUAAGUGCCGCUGCUCUUCAACGACGGCACCGAACCUGAACUUUGGACUUGAAUCUUAGAAGCGUUUCUCAUUCCAAGGGAUCUUCCAGUGCUGAAAAAGGCAGGCAAAGAACGAGCUGCAGGCGCUGGCUGACAAACGCAGAUAAGACUACCAAUACGGCAAGAAAACAAUCAUUUCUACUGUUAAUACCCUCGUUGACUAAGCCCGGAAAAGAUAUACAAUAGGGUGGCUUGGCACGUUUCUAACAGGUUAACUGUGAACAAUGUUCUCAAAUAACACAAGAAAGGUACAUCAUAAAUGAAAUAGACCACACAACCCAUAGCUGACCUUAUCAAAUCCAGGCAUGUCUAUAUAGAAAUAAAACUGCUUGCCUAUUCUGCCAGGAAUGUUUUAUCGGAUCUCGAAACACCGUUACCCAGAGGAGGGCCACAAAGAUGCUCAGAGAGCUGAAGCGCCUCCCCUACGAAGAAAGGUUGAAGGAGCUGGACUUGGGCAGCUCGGAAAAGUUCAGGGAAGAUCUCAUUGCGGCCUUCCAGGACUUGAAGGGAGCUUAAAAAUAAAAAUAAAAAACAGGAG